rnacentral:rRNA from 1 species
GAGGAAUAAGCAUCGGCUAACUCCGUGCCAGCAGCCGCGGUAAUACGGGGGAUGCAAGCGUUAUCCGGAAUCAUUGGGCGUAAAGCGCCUGUAGGUUGUUUAAUAAGUCUGUUGUUAAAGACUAGGGCUCAACCCUAGAAAAGCAAUGGAAACUAAUAGACUAGAGUAUGGCAGGGGUAGAGGGAAUUUCUAGUGUAGCGGUGAAAUGCGUAGAUAUUAGAAAGAACACCAGUGGCGAAAGCGCUCUACUGGACCAUUACUGACACUCAGAGGCGAAAGCUAGGGUAGCAAAAGGGAUUAGAUACCCCUGUAGUCCUAGCCGUAAACGAUGGAUACUAGAUGUUGUGUUAUAUCACAGUAUCGCAGCUAACGCGUUAAGUAUCCCGCCUGGGGAGUACGCUCGCAAGGGUGAAACUCAAAGGAAUUGACGGGGGCCCGCACAAGCGGUGGAGCAUGUGGUUUAAUUCGAUGCAACGCGAAGAACCUUACCAGGGCUUGACAUACUACAGAUCUUUUUGAGAAAGAAGAGUGCCUUCGGGAAUGUAGAUACAGGUGGUGCAUGGCUGUCGUCAGCUCGUGUCGUGAGAUGUUGGGUUAAGUCCCGCAACGAGCGCAACCCUUAUUUUUAGUUACCAACUUGUUGGGUUCUCUAGAAAGACUGCCGGUGACAAACCGGAGGAAGGUGAGGAUGACGUCAAGUCAGCAUGCCCCUUAUGUCCUGGGCUACACACGUGCUACAAUGGCUAAGACAAAGAGUUGCGAAUUCGUGAGAAUCAGCUAAUCUCGUAAACUUAGCCUAAGUUCAGAUUGUAGGCUGCAACUCGCCUGCGUGAAG